UAAUAAUAUAAGCUAUGUUUUUAUUCUGUUCCUAGAUGCCCUCUCAUCUUUAACUACUCUACAUGGAUUCAUCCUUUGUCUUAAUACUGACCACUAAAACUGUAAAGAUUGAGCAUUACCACGAAUUGCUUAGACAAAUUUAAGUAGAACUCUUUUAUUCAACUCACGGCGGUUGUCUAUAGAGUGCAGUGGAUUACAUAUUCUGCUGACUGUACCUGGCUGAACGUUCGCAUUACAUGUUUUACUGAGGACUCAUACCAAGUAUAAGAAGACAUCUGUAUAUCCCAGGCGAAGAUUGUUCCGUCCAUGCACUGUAUCCUAGAGCUGGUUUGAAGCUUCAUUAUAUGCGAGUUCUUUUCUACUUUUAUUCCAGUCCAGAUAGUCAAAUAUACUCCACCUUUGUACUCUGUUUUUGUUUUACAUAUUCACUUAUGCGAAGCACAUCAGCCACCCCACUGCUAUCCUAAAUUCCUGAUCUAGUUUUCAAUUUCUUGUGGACGUGUAUUGUAGUCUUAAUUAUCCUUCCAUUGGUUAAUGGCCCAAGUCCAAGACAUACCUUCAACAUAUUUUAGGUAACAAUCUUUAUUUUCAGUCUCCAUACUUAUUUUCCAUUCACUAUAUUCUUCAAAUAUACAGCUAUCUGGUGCAUUGGUUACUUAAUAAAUGGUCAUUUCUCCUCGUCUGACUAGUUAUAUUUUGAAUUAAUCUUUGAUAUGCUUAUAGAUCAAGAAGGACAUACUUGAAAAUUAGAGAAAUCUCAAUGUAUCCUUCCUGAUAAUAUAUUUUAUAAAUAAAUGUGAAAACAUUUACAAGAAGGACUACGAAUCUGAUAGAAGCAAGUAUGUUUUCACAGGGCUGUAUGUAUAUAAACACACAUACAAGAUCCCCAAUACCAUUCACAGAGCAUAUUCAUCAUAUUUAUACAUAUCAAUUAUAGAUGUAUAGAGAUUUUAACAAAAAUAUAUAAAGUACUCUCAAGACAUAAAACAUCUCAGUCAUAACAAUAACUUUAUAGUUUAAAAUCCAAAUUUAAACAUAAUUACAUAAUAUAUGUAGUAGAAAUUUCUGUGUUUAUUUUUUUUGCGUUUUAAACUUUUUUUGAAAAAACCCAAAACUGUGAAUAAAAAAAAGAAAGUGAACAAAUAAUACCAACGUGAUAUCACAAUCUCGUUCUAACUCACCACUCCCUUAUCCACAUAUAAAGAAUGCUGGUAAAAUAAAAAAUAGAAAUUUACAAAUAAAAAAAGAAGUGUUCAUAGGCAACACUGAAUAUGCUUUAAUAUUUUACUCUUCCUUUUACAGAGGUCUGCAGUACAGUGCCAUGUUAUGAAAACAUCUGCCAACAAACCGGGUUAACAUGUGAUGGGUAUAUUAAGAUUGCUAGAUAAGAGGCACUUAAAGGACCACUAUAGGCACCCAGACCACUUCAGCUUAAUGAAGUGGUUUGGGUGCCAGGUCUAUCUAGUGCUACUGCUAUGUUUAUAAUAGGGUUAAUCCAGCCUCUAGUGGCUGUCUCAUUGACAGCCACUAGAGGCGCUUCUCACUGUGAUUUAUAGCCCGGCGGGAGGGGGGCCCUGAGGGUGGGGGCACCCUCAGGGCACUAAAGUGCCAGGAAAAGUAGUAUAUUUUCCUGGCACUAUAGUGGUUCUUUAAGAGUAGAAGUGUUAACUCUUUUAUAGAAGGAUGUAACUACAAUUAAUUCUUGAAGUUGAUCAUACUAACGAGUCUCAUUUAUGAAUUGCAAUCUGCUAGAAAAGGGAGUGCGUAGCAGACAUGCUAAGAAGGUUGGUAGACAUUCUAAAUGGUACAGAGGACCCAUGUGCUACAUUAAAGCCACAUUUAUUUAAAUGCAUCCUAAUAUAUGCUACUAACCUAAAAUGGCUUACUAAUAAAAUAUUAAAAAAAUAGAUUCAUGUUUGAGUUGGACAUGGACACUAUACUUUUAAUACUUUUUCCCAAGCCAUUUUCUUUCAACUACAUUUCCUCUAAAAUCAUAAAACUUAAUUUUUAGUGUCAUCUGAAUGCAAUACAAUCAGAUUAUUAGAAAGUAUUACAUUACAUACUUGCAGUUCAAGGUGAAAUGAAAACCCAAAAACGUUUCUAAUACAAAGUUAUUUUAACCAGCAGACUCUUUAAAGUAGUUUAAACAAUAUUCCACAAAAAUAUAUAUGUACGUAAGAUAUAGUCAAGAACUUCUGGGCGCAAUUUUAAAACCAAAGUUGUAUUUGUUAUCAAUGUACAAGUGAUUUUUAAGUCAUGAGAGCAAUGCAUUUAAAGGGACACUCCACUGUCCAAAUAACAAAUAACUAAAAAUCCCUAUUUAUUAGAUAUACCCUAAAUGAAAACUUGCAUGCAUUUAAUUAUGUCUUUUUUUUCAUUGGGGGUAUAUCUAAAAUCAGUUUGCAAAACAUGCAGUUCUCUUGUCUGCUGCCUUUGCAAGCUCUCCCCUUCUAACCCCGUCCAGAAUUUCUGUGGAUGUCCAAUGACAGACUUCUCAAUGAGAAGUCUUUGUAAGUUAGGUUCUCGGAGCAAUCCCUGCCUCUUGAGUUCAGCUGCAUUGAGCUAACAAAACCAGGAAGUAAAAUUACCCGUUGUCUGCUUGAAAGUCAAAGGGGUGUAACCAGCUGGAUUUAUAAAAGGGUCAAAUUCAAUUGAAAUCUGCCCUUUUUUUCAAAAUACAAAAAUAAAAAUAUAUUAUUUUUUUAUUUUUUUUAAAGGACACACUCUUUACACAAAGCUUUUCAGCAAGCUAAUGUUGUUUAGGGGUCUGGAGUGACCCUUUAAGAAUUAUUUUUCUACUUCUUAUGUUUACAGAUUGGAAGUUAAAUGUGCAAAUGCAAAAAUAAAAUAUUCAUUAAUUCAGAUUGGAAAGCUUUAAAUAAUGUCUUUGUAUACUAAUCCAACAACAUUAAGUCUUAACACCAAAGAAAGUUUAUGAGAACCACAAUGUACAUGUGACAAUAUAAAGAAGAGGUGAACUUUAUUCACAGGGUUUAAACUACAGUGUUCUCUUAAAAAAUUGUAGAGUAAAAAUGUUUUCAAACUAAAUUAUCCAUGGUGUGUUUUCCUGUGUGUACUGGAUUUAAAAAGUCAGGAAAGACAGAAAAAAGCCAACCCCCACCCCCCAAAAAACCCUUACCUUCAUUCCACUGCCAAGUUCCCCCAGAGGAGCCCCAACCUCCUAACAGUGGCAUUACUCCUCAUUGCAAGAGAGGACUUGGUCACAUGAAGGAGAAUGAGGUGGGGAGUGGACCGGCCAUUGUACCUUAGGACAGCUGUAGCCAGCAUGCUGUGCACAUUAGCCAACUUGGAACUCUUGAUCUGGCUAAUGACAAUCUAAUGAUGCUGUUGAUAGUGAAGUUACAUCUCCAACAGCAAAAGGCUUUAACUCUAAAUGCAGCAUUAGACAUACAAACUCCAGGCACCAUGACCACUUGAAAUCAGUGAAGUGGUCAUAGUGCUUGGAGUAACGGCUUAAACUAUAUUUACAAUCCAAGCCUGAAAUGUUAACGGACAUGCAGUAGCUGACCGUUUAAGAAUCCAUGCACAAAAGGAAAAUGUGAUGAUAUCUAUUAGCCUUUGAUGAAGAAGAAAUACCACAAUACUGUGCUUCUGUGGAUUUUUCCUAAAAAAAUGUUGAUCACAUUUAAUGCAUUAAUACCAUUUUUCUUUCAAAACAUACUUCCUGAUAUUGUAAAUUGCACGCACGCACAUACAUAAUAUCAGAGUAGAACAAUAUUACCUAGAAAAUGUAGUUUUUGAUUCAGAGUAACCAAAUAAUUUAUUACAAAUAUCAAAUGAUGUGUUGGCACUCUACUACAGAGUGGUUCAGGUAUUAGAGGUUACCCUCUGUAGAGACCUCAAACUCAUAUAUAAAAAAAAGUAAAUAUUAAUACCGCACUCAGACAUUCAUUAUGUGUCAAAAAAAUUAUAAUUCAUUGGUUGUAAUGCAAGAAAGUUAAUUUAUUAUUCAAUUAAUAUUGUGGAAAAAUCUCAAAUAAAGGAAGGAACUAAAAUAUUCCCUAUUGAGAGUUCAAUAUAUAAAAUAGUGCAAAAACAGAAGUCACAUUUGAUAUAAUAAAAGUGUUGGGAACACAAAGUAUCAAAAAAUUAUUAAAAGAACAGUAAAACAGUGACUUGUAAUAAAAAUUAAAUAGUCUGGUACCAGGGAUAGAUGGAGUAAAAGUACAGAAAUUAAAUAUGCAUAAAUUAGUUAGGUCCAGCUCAAAACUGGACAAAAAAGGGAGGUCACCAAUCCUCUCUAAAUGGAUAGAUUUAGGUAUAUCAUUAAUAGAAAUAUUCCAGGAGCUAGUCAAAUUGCAGCAAUAGGGAAAUUCAAUAGAUAAGAUGUAACUAGUUAUUCAAAGUAGAUAAAUAUAAAACAACCUUGAGAAAUAGCAAAUAGUUCAUAUACAAAGUCUUGUGAUGGAAAUCGAUAAGUCAAUUAUAAAAUAGAAUAGCUUCUCAUUAAAGUCCAAACGUCCACAAAUUGUAGCAAAGGGGAAUUUCACACAAAACUGUGUAUAUAGAAAAUACACAGCUAUGGAGCCCUAUUGCAAAUACAUUAUAAUUUACUGACACUCUUGAGAGGUGUCUCCUACUGUUAAAGGAGACACCUCUCAAGAGUGAUUGAGCAUCCUGUCGGUACUAUUUUUAUCACUUAUUUUAUCAUUUGUAUGUUACUUUGAUUCAUCCAUUGGAAACUUUAUUUAAGACUUGGAACUUUUUACAGAAGCAUUUCCCUCCUUUUUCUUUAUUCACUACCUUUUUCUACUUUUAGCAAACAGUUAACCAAGGUACUGUAUUGCUUCCUUUUUCUUUGAUUUGCGGUUAUGUUUAUCCUUCAUUUUUAUUUUUUAUAUAGCUAUACAUACUUUGUGGAUCCACCGGACUAACUAUGAACUAUUGAUCUUGAUUUACUAUGAUCACAUUGUAUUUUAGUAAAUUUUUUAUUUUUUUAUUUUUCCACAAUAUUAAUUGAAUAAUAAGUGAACUUUCUUGC